UACAGAGGGUGCAAGCGUUAAUCGGAAUUACUGGGCGUAAAGCGUGCGUAGACGGUUAUAUAAGUCGGAUGUGAAAGCCCCGGGCUCAACCUGGGAAUUGCAUUCGAGACUGCAUAGCUAGGGUGCGGAAGAGGGAAGCGGAAUUUCGGGUGUAGCGGUGAAAUGCGUAGAUAUCCGAAGGAACAUCAGUGGCGAAAGCGGCUUCCUGGUCCAGCACCGACGUCAGGCACGAAAGCGUGGGGAGCAAACAGG
rnacentral:rRNA from 1 species